UAAGGCUUCGGCCUUAGUGGCGCACGGGUGAGUACACGUGGGAACCUGCCUUACGGUUCGGGAUAACGUCUGGAAACGGACGCUAACACCGGAUACGCCCUUCGGGGAGAAAGUUUACGCCGAGAGAGGGGCCCGCGUCCGAUUACGUAGUUGGUGGGGUAAUGGCCCACCAAGCCGACGAUCGGUAGCUGGUCUGAGAGGAUGAUCAGCCACACUGGGACUGAGACACGGCCCAGACUCCUACGGGAGGCAGCAGUGGGGAAUAUUGGACAAUGGGGGCAACCCUGAUCCAGCAAUGCCGCGUGAGUGAUGAAGGCCUUAGGGUUGUAAAGCUCUUUCGCACGCGACGAUGAUGACGGUAGCGUGAGAAGAAGCCCCGGCUAACUUCGUGCCAGCAGCCGCGGUAAUACGAAGGGGGCGAGCGUUGUUCGGAAUUACUGGGCGUAAAGGGCGCGUAGGCGGCCUGUUUAGUCAGAAGUGAAAGCCCCGGGCUUAACCUGGGAACGGCUUUUGAUACUGGCAGGCGUGAGUUC
rnacentral:rRNA from 1 species